rnacentral:lncRNA from 1 species
GAAACUUUUAAGGAACAUAAAACCUCAUCACUUGGUACGAAGGAAGUUUCCGAGUUUACUCUGGAGGAACUCAUUGAAUCUUGCUUGAUUUACUGAAGAAUUAUCUCUUCUGGGAUAUUGUGAAUGAGAAAAAAAAUGA